UGGCGGGGCGACGGCCCACCAAGGCGACGAUCAGUAGGGGUUCUGAGAGGAAGGUCCCCCACAUUGGAACUGAGACACGGUCCAAACUCCUACGGGAGGCAGCAGUGAGGAAUAUUGGUCAAUGGGCGGAAGCCUGAACCAGCCAAGUAGCGUGCAGGAUGACGGCCCUACGGGUUGUAAACUGCUUUUAUGCGGGGAUAAAGUGAGGGACGCGUCCCUUUUUGCAGGUACCGCAUGAAUAAGGACCGGCUAAUUCCGUGCCAGCAGCCGCGGUAAUACGGAAGGUCCGGGCGUUAUCCGGAUUUAUUGGGUUUAAAGGGAGCGUAGGCCGGGGAUUAAGUGUGUUGUGAAAUGUAGGCGCCCAACGUCUGACUUGCAGCGCAUACUGGUUCCCUUGAGUACGCGCAACGCCGGCGGAAUUCGUCGUGUAGCGGUGAAAUGCUUAGAUAUGACGAAGAACCCCGAUUGCGAAGGCAGCCGGCGGGAGCGCAACUGACGCUGAAGCUCGAAGGUGCGGGUAUCGAACAGGAUUAGAUACCCUGGUAGUCCGCACGGUAAACGAUGGAUGCCCGCUGUCGGCGCCUUGCGCCGGCGGCCAAGCGAAAGCGUUAAGCAUCCCACCUGGGGAGUACGCCGGCAACGGUGAAACUCAAAGGAAUUGACGGGGGCCCGCACAAGCGGAGGAACAUGUGGUUUAAUUCGAUGAUACGCGAGGAACCUUACCCGGGCUUGAAUUGCAGGAGAACGAUACAGAGAUGUUGAGGUCCUUCGGGACUCCUGCGAAGGUGCUGCAUGGUUGUCGUCAGCUCGUGCCGUGAGGUGUCGGCUUAAGUGCCAUAACGAGCGCAACCCCUCUCCCCAGUUGCCAUCGGGUGAUGCCGGGCACUCCGGGGACACUGCCGCCGCAAGGUGCGAGGAAGGCGGGGAUGACGUCAAAUCAGCACGGCCCUUACGUCCGGGGCUACACACGUGUUACAAUGGCCGGCACAGAGCGCCGGUGCGGCGCGAGCCGCAUCUAAUCUUGAAAACCGGUCUCAGUUCGGACUGGGGUCUGCAACCCGACCCCACGAAGCUGGAUUCGCUAGUAACCGCGCUUCAGCCACGGCGCGGUGAAUACGUUCCCGGGCCCUUGUACACACCGCCCGUC
rnacentral:rRNA from 1 species